rnacentral:lncRNA from 1 species
AGGCUUUUUAAAACCAUUUAACAAAAAAACAAACAAACAAACAAAAAAACCAAACCAAACCAAACCUUCUCCUCUUGCAGCAUAGGACCUGAGAUUUGUCUCCCCACCUGAAGAACCAAAGGAGGAGAGCGAUUUCCUGGGACUUCAGCUGGUGCCCUGCAACCUGCCAACCCUGCCUUGGAAGAGAAGGAAGAAGUCUUUCCUCUUCAUGGAGAAACAGGACCUUAAUAAACCACGGUAAAGUAAGUAUUGCAGCUGUAGAAAUCUGUAUGUAAUACAACACAAUGUUUGCAUGUUCAAAAGACCGGACACUUUCCACAUGACGUAAUGAUGAUGUCAAAGGGAGGAGGAUAAAGAUUAUAACACAGAUGAGGUAUAAAUCAUAAAUAACCAGGUUUAAAAUGUGGAUUU